rnacentral:pre_miRNA from 1 species
UUGGUUUAAAUCGUUGUGGGUCUACAUUUUAAAAAUUGAACUCACACAAAAUAGUGUGACAUAUAUUGAUUUCAUCCAA